rnacentral:rRNA from 1 species
UUUUACCUACGGGAGGCAGCAGUGGGGAAUAUUGCACAAUGGGGGAAACCCUGAUGCAGCAACGCCGCGUGAAGGAAGACGGUUUUCGGAUUGUAAACUUCUGUUCUUAGUGAGGAAAAAUGACGGUAGCUAAGGAGCAAGCCACGGCUAACUACGUGCCAGCAGCCGCGGUAAUACGUAGGUGGCAAGCGUUGUCCGGAAUUACUGGGUGUAAAGGGAGCGCAGGCGGGAAGCCAAGUCAACUGUGAAAACUACGGGCUUAAAUUGUAGACUGCAGUUGAAACUGGGUUUCUUG